AAGAUCUUCCAACCACUGGUUCACUCCCCAAGUGGCCACAACAGCCAGAGCUGAGCUGAUCCAAGGUCAGGAGCGAAGAGCCUCUUCCGGGUUUCCCAUGUGUGUGGGGGAUACGAAGGCUUUGGGUCAUCCUCAACUGCUUUCCCAGGCCAUAAACAGGAAGCUGGAAAGGAAAUGGAGCAGUGGGACAUGAACUGGCAUCCAUAUGUGAUCCCAGUGGAAGCAAGAACUGUGCAGGUAGGUCAAUCCACAGUGUGUGGGCACAUGCCUUUGCAAGGGAAGAAUAAAGGUCAAAUUUACCAACAAAAUCAGUGCCUGCAGAAACAUUAAUAUCUUGUGGCAAAGUAAGUUUCCUGUGAGCCAAGUUUAAUUGGGCUCCCCCCCCUUUUUUUUUAAAAUACAGUUGACCAUUCAAUGGGUUUCAGUUUAAUGCAUUCCAGUGUACAUUUCAGAUGCCAAGGUCUGUGAGAGAAAGUACCUUUUCCAACUUGUUCAUGAUGAUAUCUGUCUGUCUCAUGGUAGAUAUCCGUUUGCUUUUUGCUAAAACAACAAAAGUGUAACAUCCUGAGAACAUGAUUUUUCC